CAGCAUCAGAGCUCGGGUGACAUCUCUCGCUCGGGUGAAAUCUCUCCUGGAAGAUUUCAAGGUGUGUGCAGAGUUCUGAAGAAUAAAAGUCAACAGUCAAGUUCUUCUCCAUAUUCUCCAAAUCUGACGGAGGCGUUCCAUCAGGAAAGGGGGAAUGGUUGGUCGAUGCCUCCAGAAUAAUGAUACCCAUGACCCAGGCACAACAUGCUGACAGGGAAUCGGCUAUGGCAGAAAGCAUCCAUGCCAUCUA